rnacentral:rRNA from 1 species
AUUGAACGCUGGCGGCAUGCCUUACACAUGCAAGUCGAACGGCAGCACGGGGCAACCUGGUGGCGAGUGGCGAACGGGUGAGUAAUGCAUCGGAACGUGCCAUUGAGUGGGGGAUAACGUAGCGAAAGUUGCGCUAAUACCGCAUAUUCUGUGAGCAGGAAAGCAGGGGACCGCAAGGCCUUGCGCUCUUUGAGCGGCCGAUGUCAGAUUAGCUAGUUGGUGAGGUAACGGCUUACCAAGGCGACGAACUGUAGCGGGUCUGAGAGGAUGAUCCGCCACACUGGAACUGAGACACGGUCCAGACUCCUACGGGAGGCAGCAGUGGGAAUUUUGGACAAUGGCGCAAGCCUGAUCCAGCCAUGCCGCGUGAGUGAAGAAGGCCUCGGUUGGUAAA